UAUAUUUGACGACUCAGAAUGGGUUGUAUGGACCUAUUUUGCGAGCGUCACAUUAAUCAAUCAAAAUUAUCUUAUGCAUAGUGGAAUAUAAGUUUGAAAACCCCCUUUGAAAAUUUACUAAGAAAUUUCAGUUCUAAGAUAAGUCUUAUGGAUAGGCAAACACAUAGCAGAUAUGACAGUUAUAGAUUACAUAAUGUAAAUGACGUAAAGUAAAAGAAAUAAGAGAUUUUAAGUGGUUCGGAGACUAAAUAACUCAUAGUCCACUCUUCUACCCAACGAGUAAGAUAACCACUAAGGAUAUAGGCUUAGCAUACCAUUUUACAACUGAACCACUAAGGUUACUUCGAGUCACUAAAUCUCAGAAUCGAGUCACUUAGACUCGACAAUUCAAUCAUUAAGAUCAAGAUCCUCUGACCUUAAUUCGAUCACUAAGACCAUGAUUCUUUGACACAAAUUCGGUCACACAGAUCAGGAUCCAUCGAUCCCAAUUCCUGUUUGUUAAUGUAUGUUGGAGGUGCUGCUAAGAUAGCUUGUAUGCUCUUCAUCUUAUGGUACUUAGCAGCAUUGUUUUUAUCAUCUUCUUGGUGCUUGCUAAACUUGGCUUUAAUGCUUAAUCUCUCCUUGUAAUUCGCAAAUUUUCAUGAUCAUAGUUGAUGUGCUGCUAAUCAUUUCCAUUAAGCUUGACAUCUUCUUGUAGCUAGUAGUCUUGAGCACUUGUUGGGUCAUAGACUUCUACUCUACAUCUUCAUCAGUUUAGCAUUAAGUGUUAUUAGUGGAACAUAAAGUGGUUCUCAAUGUUUGCUUUCUAAUUUGCUAAUUCUACUUUUAGCACCAUCAACUACAUGGCUUUUUCAUACUUUGACUCUCAGCUUUGCCAUGUCCUCCAUUAUCUUGGCUCUUCAGUUCUGUCUUAUUAGCCCUUUGGCUUUUCACUCUUAGUCUUUGGCUUUGCGGUUCUAAUUUCUGUAACUGUUCACCAGCUUCUCAUAGUCUGAUGAUGUGAGACCCUGAAUUUUAUGAAAUGAAAGUAUUCAAUUUUCUUAUAAUUAUUCUAUUUAGUAAAUGGUUAAAUUGAUAAAACGUUAAAGUUAAGGGUGAUAUGUGAAAAUUUUUCAAAGUAUGCAAGUUGUUAUAAAAUAUUCGUUUGGUCGGGGAAUAUUCUUUUUAUCGAGAAUAUCCGUGCGACGGCACAAUCAUUGGUGGACCCCACAAUGGAAGUAUUGUCAUAGUUAGAAAAUGACAGAAUUAUCAUUUUAUAAAAAUAACAGUGAAAGUGUUACCGUUAAAACUGUUGAACUACUUGGUAGUAAAAGUACAGUAAUACAUGUGGUUGCAUAGUAGCACGCGACAUUGAUUAUUGAUGCUUACGUAAGAAGUCAC
rnacentral:lncRNA from 1 species